CAGGUCAGCAUACUGCCGUGAAUACGUUCCCGGGCCUUGUACACACCGCCCGUCACACCAUGAGAGUUGGGGAUACCCGAAGCCUGUGAGCCAACAGUUUACUGAGGCAGCAGUCGAAGGUAGAAUCAAUGAUUGGGGUGAAGUCGUAACAAGGUACC
rnacentral:rRNA from 1 species